GGAAGGAGCUCUCUGCUGCAGAAGAGAGGAGAAGCCUGCUGAAGGAGCAGCAUGUGACAUGGCUGUGGGAUGAAGAACCCUGGUUAACCCGGGACCGAUUGGAGAACAUUGCAAAUAUUGGAAACAAAGCUCCUACUUUCAUCUAUUUUCAGAAGCUUCAUCCAGCAGAGAAAAUCUAGGUGAACAAAAGAAAGGAAAGGUGCCAGGUGGAGCAGUGAAUAUCCCCCAUGAGGUAAUUUCUCUACUGCUGACACUGGAACUGAUAAAUCAUUACAAGCGUGAUAAAUCUGACAGGUCUGAGCUGGCCACAAAAGAAAAAUAAAAACAGUAGCAUCUUCAUUUCAGAAAUCUGUUCAACUGCAUCAAGCCAGAGUGACUGAGAAUGCAGCUGUGUGCUCUAAAGUGUUAAGAUACUUGAAGAAGGUGCGCUGAGAGACAAGAAAAAAAAAAAAAAGAAAAUCAACAUGGAAUACGUUAAUCUAUUAUAAAUGUAUUAGUGGCCCAUUAACAAUGCACAAUUUUUUUAUGUACAUUUGUACAGCACACACGUAAUGGCAACAAUGGCCUCCGGAGCCAUUAUCUGUCCAAAAAGAAUUGUUUUGAAAGGGUCAGUUUCACAAAGGUACGUACGAGGGCAUG